UACGGGGGGGGCAAGCGUUGUUCGGAAUUACUGGGCGUAAAGGGCUCGUAGGUGGCCAACUAAGUCAGACGUGAAAUCCCUCAGCUUAACUGGGGAACUGCGUCUGAUACUGGAUGGCUUAGUUUGGGAGAGGGAUGCGGAAUUCCAGGUGUAGCGGUGAAAUGCGUAGAUAUCUGGAGGAACACCGGUGGCGAAGGCGGCAUCCUGGACCAACACUGACACUGAGGAGCGAAAGCCAGGGGAGCAAACGGG
rnacentral:rRNA from 1 species